GCACUGCUGAGGAGUCCCAUACCAGGACGAAACUGCCGUCCAGUGC
rfam:Schistosoma margrebowiei strain Zambia genome assembly, scaffold: SMRZ_scaffold0003315